GAAACGUCACAAAGCGGCAGGUAGAACGCCGAAACAGCUGCGCAUUACCACCUAUAUACCGCAAAGCGUAACCCGCGUAACCGAAUAAAUUGUGUCCUAUGCUCCCACGCUCUCCGAACAUGUCGAGAAAGAGGAGUACGGCGAGCUCUGCAACGCUUGCAACCCCUGCCGUUGUACAGAGCAGUGACUGUCUUUACCCAGUCGAAUCACCACUGUCUGUUGCAUGCACACGCACGCUUUGCGCUGAUUUGCGCGUAGUCGGUCACAUGACUUAACGACGUGGUCUUAUUGGAUCUCUUCGCCCUUCUUUGCAAGCUCGGAAUGCCUGAAGGCUUGCAAAGGUUGCUGGGUUGGUGUGCUCCACGCUCUCACACGCUCAGUUCGCGCGCUCUCUUUGAACGUGGUGGUUGUAUCGUUGUGCCAUGUGCUCAUGAGUUCCAGGGUGAGCGUUGGUCAGCUCCAGGUGAACGUUUUUGUCAUGCGCUUUGGAGCUCCAUUUCUGCGGCGCCUGUACGUCUUACGCCUAUCAAGAGCCAUGCUGUGUUCCUGCCAUGAGCCUGGUGUCACUUUGAGUCGACAUCAUUCUUCGUUGAUGACCAGCACAGAAACAAGCCCACGGAAAUCUGCUAACCUUCUUAGUACCUCUGGUCUCAGCAAUGUAUUUUCUUGUUUGCGACCACUGGAACCGAUCCUUCAGGAUUACUAGUAAAUUGUGUAGCGUACCCCGGAUCUCUUCUGUUCUGCAUCUGAAACUAUGGACGAAAGACUUCACCCAGCGUGUGGCGACUUCCUUAUGGGCUGAUAUACCUGUGAACUCUGGGUUACUUUUUGUCUCUGGGACUGUUCAAGCAAGCCCACAGAAAUGCCCCACUAAAUUUCUUAGUACACGUGAACUGCAAUGUAGUUGUCUUCGACCGCUGAGCCAGCCUGCAGUGAGCCUUAGUAAAAUGUUUAGUCGCCAAGAUACCUGCAAUCUUUUCACAAGUAUUUGUAUCUGCUGCCAUGGAAUAACAGCCACGCUCUGCCUCUGGUAACUUCCAUCGAGGCUGUCUGACACCCGUGAAUUUUUAGGAUGAAAUUGUGUUUUUGUGUGGCCGCUGAAGCAAGCCCACACAAAUCCUCUAUUAGCUUUUCAUAUGAGUGAACUCAUAUAAUGCUGAAGCGAUCAUGCUGCAAGCUUUUAGUUAAUUGUGUAAUCGCCAGGGUACCUGUGACGUUUCAGCAAUAUUUGGCUGUGGCCACGGAGAGGUCACAUUCAGCUUCUGUUUACUUGCUUAGAGGCCUUCAAGCCUCUAAGCAAGUAAACAGAAGCAGAAGAAACAGAAACACAAAUUCACUUAUGGUGAAUUUAUGUUUGUGACCACUCAAGUGCAGCAAGUGUCUUGUAACUCUAGUACUUGUGACAUCAGUUUGGUAUUGUGUUGAAGCAAGUGUCUUGUAACUGCUUUUGUAUCUGUGAACUCUCCAGUAAUGUUCGUGUUUGCAACUGCUUAAGUGAUCCUUGAGUAAUUUUUUUUAAUGCCCAGUGUGUCUAUAAAAUAUGUAGUACUUCUACUGUGUGCAACCGCUGAAGGAGGCCUGCAGAAAGUGGAGUAGCUUCCGUCAUGGCUAAGACACCUCUGAACUUUCCAGUAAAUAUUGUAUUUAUGGGCCCGCGACCGUUGAAGUGAGCCAGCCCACAGUAGCCCUCCUACUAACUUCCUUUGUACCCCCCACCCUUGCAUAGGGCUUUUGAAGUUCUUUUACUGGCCGAGGUGCAUCUGCGAAUUAUUAGCUCAACUGAAAUGGUCUUGUCACUACACACGAAAGUGUCGAUGUUUGCUCUGGUUACCUUUGCCAGAACUUGUUAUGGAUGCACAGUGCAUUUGCUCUACACUCUAAGAACAGUUGCACCCUUUGGGGUGUAAAUUUGCGACAGAACAAUAAUCGUCAUCUGUCUUACUUGCCUUUCCUUUCUUGAAAACCCUGCGCUCAUUACUUUCCUGUCGAGAAUGCUCUGUCAUGCUGAUAAUGCGCAUGCCGUUCGUGACAUGGAAGUACUGGGCUUGCAGCGUUAAAGAAAGGAAAUGCAGGCAAGUCAGAUGACGAUUAUUGUUCUGUGGAAAAUAUACACCCCAAAGGGUGCAACUGUUUUUAGAGUGUAAAUGGAUGAUCAUACAGCAGCUGUUUGUCUAUAUAUGACCACUGAACUAGCCUCGAGUAAUUUUGUUAAUUGCCUAAUGUAGUUGUGACAUCUUAAUUUAGCAUACCUCGUGUUUGUGUAUGUAACUACUGAAUAUGGCCUAGGGAAAGGCUCUGGCAACUUAAAGUGGCUAACAUAUCUAAACAUUUCAGCAAAUUUUUCAUUGAUGUGCCUGCGACCACGACAGUGAGCCCACAGCAAGCCUUGUGAUAAGUUCCAUAGUGGCCCCACUGCGAAUUCUUAAAUUUUCUUGCUACCCAAAGUGCAUUUGUAAAGAGUUUGAAUAAUGUGCACGUUUACUAACCAUGGUGCGGUAUAAAUAACUCCUAAUAGCUGAACUUGUAUGAUGAAAUUAUCGAGUUUUAUUUGCAUUGAUGGGUUUUACUAAAAACUGUUAGUGCAUUUUAGAGUUCAACGAGUGAUCUUCCUGCAACUGUUCUAUUGAAAUAAAUGCUGUAUUUUUAAUGAGAUUGUCAAAUGAUUCAGCAGCCUGCAGAACUUAGUUCUGUAGCUUCGUCCCUGUUAGCACAAAGAAGUAUAGGUUGCAUGUCUAUAUGUUUUGAAUUAAUGCAUUUUUAUCAAGUUGUAUGUAAUGUAUUUGCUUAGCGUAGCAGGGAACCAUGUGCACAAUGCUUAGUUGCACUGCAGCCUUCAUUUAACGUGCUUUGAGAUGCGGUGGGCUGCAUUCCUGGCUUAUCUCCUGGUACUUCAGCUUUUGCAUGACAAAAAUAUUUGGUUGACUUAUUGGAUUCCUGGAUUUUUUUGUGUUGCUCUGGUAUACACUGACGCCAUGAAUGCUUAACCAAUUUUCUCUGCUUGCAUAUAACUUACUAUUUAUAGAUGUGAAUUUCAAGGCUGUAUUAUUUGUAUCAUUUUAUACUAUUCACUUUCUGUAAUAUAAUUUCUUGCAGCAUUCUAUUGUUCAUUUUUUACCCUUAUGCAUUUCUGUUAUACAAUGUUCACUAAUGUUCACCUUUUUUUUCUCGUUUAUCCAUUAUGUUAUGUUUGUGUUCUCUUUAUUGUGCACGGUGCCAUUUCUGUAGGGGGUACAGACCUUGUCAAGCCGAAUUCAUUUGGCUUUUUGUCUGUACUCCUGUCAUCUGUACAUGUAUAGAUGCAAAAUAAACUUGAAUUGAAAUUCACCGCUGGGAUGGAUCUUCAAGA